rfam:Myotis davidii contig17992, whole genome shotgun sequence.
GGCAGUUCUCGGGUGAUACACCCGGAAUCGUGCUCCCUCCUCUCUGGUCCCGGGUGCGUCACCCUAGAACUGCA